CCUACGGGAGGCAGCAGUGGGGAAUAUUGGACAAUGGGCGCAAGCCUGAUCCAGCAAUGCCGCGUGAGUGAUGAAGGCCUUCGGGUUGUAAAGCUCUUUUACCUACGACGAUGAUGACGGUAGUAGGAGAAUAAGCCCCGGCUAACUUCGUGCCAGCAGCCGCGGUAAUACGAAGGGGGCUAGCGUUGUUCGGAAUUACUGGGCGUAAAGGGCGCGUAGGCGGCCCUGUCAGUCAAGCGUGAAAGCCCCGGGCUCAACCUGGGAAUUGCGCCUGAUACUGCAGGGCUUGAGGACCGGAGAGGAUGGUGGAAUUCCCAGUGUAGAGGUGAAAUUCGUAGAUAUUGGGAAGAACACCGGUGGCGAAGGCGGCCAUCUGGACGGUAACUGACGCUGAGGCGCGAAAGCGUGGGGAGCAAACAGGAUUAGAUACCCCAGUAGUC
rnacentral:rRNA from 1 species